UUCAGAGCAGCGCGGAUCAACGCAAGCUGCGUUCCAGAAACCUGCGGCACGGUGACCGCUUUUGAAAUGGGUAUAAGAUAAACCAGUUUUAUAAUCGGCACAUCCCUCGACAAAAAAACGCCAAGCGGAACGCCCCAACACGUCGAACUACUUCUCUUCAAGCCAGACGCAAUGAAGUGUGUCGGGUGUCUGCUCGUCAUCUGCGUUCUUGUCGCUUUGAACGCAUGCCUCGGAGCCAAUGGAUUGAGAAAAGAACAUCAAGACCGAGCUGCCAUUGCUUCAGAAAGGGCUGAAAAAGAAAAAGCUGCAGAAGAACCUGAUUCAUCUGUUAGCGGUACCAAGGUGUCAAUGACCGAAAUCAUCAGCUUCGUCAAAGAGUUCGCCAGCAAGAUGUCUAAACGCAAAUCUGGCAAUUAGGAAACAUAGUCGCAAGAGUCCCAUGCAGUGAAAUAUGCUGGUACACAGCACACUGUCUGCGCAUCUACGACUUGCAAGAUUUGCCUCUACACGCUUCAUGUUUCUUACAGGUGCUCAAAUAUUAAAAUUUCUUAACUGAAUGGAAUUUGAGUAUCCAAGAAAAGCUGGGCUUCAAUUACCUUAUAAGAGUGCUGAAAGCUGGGUGAGUGUGCAGGUAUUCAUUAUGAAACUGCAGCAAAGGUAACACACUGCACUUGUGUGUUGUUACCUUUGCCUUGUGUCUCAUUUGUUGUCUGCACGCUGCAGUUUCAUAAUCAAUUACCUUGUUCAAUGCUGAGCAUUUCCCCAUGUAUUAUCUUAAAUUUAAAAAAUGAAACAUCACUUGCAACAGUAACAAGAUGAAACAAAGAUAAUAUUUCAGAUACAAUGAGCUACCAUACAUGUAAUUUAUGGAGCAAACAUCAGCCACUGGAAUGACUGCAAGAUAUUAUGCGAGAAUAGUAUACUAACCCGCAAAUUAGCUGAGAAACAUGUGCCUCUGUGAUGCAACAAUGCCUCCCAAAGCAUAGUUCUCUGGAGCAGUCAUUGCCAACUACUGUAUUUUUGGUUGCGUUACAUAAUUAAAAAGCAUUUUAGGCAACCCGGUAAAGCCGUUUGCCCAGGUGGGUUCUAAUGACCAGUCUAUAGUGAGCCGAAGAGGAGUAUUUGAAAAUAUUUAAUGCACAGUUCUUGAAUUGAAUUCAAAUUGAAGGAUAAGCUAUUCUGCUUGCACUUGGAAUGUUUGUACAACUCCAGUGUUUAGUGUACGUAGAUCACACCAAAAUCACAGUGCAGUACUUCCUCCAGCAUUUCAAUUUUCUCACAUUAGUGUUUUCCUAUGCAUGUAGGAAAAGGCUCACUACAAUGGCAUGGUCAUUGCACAAGGUGUGCUUACUUCUUGCUACAAAGUACUGAGCGAAAGCGCUGGCCCUGUCAGAACUACAGGCAGCCCAGCCCAUGGUUGACACUACAAAGAAACAAGAAAGGCACAGAGUAAAUGUGAUGCUUUCUUCCUACGUGGUGUGAUUAUGAGUAAAUCCACCAAACGGGCACAGGAACAGACAGCAGGCUAUACAAGUAAGAGAGGAAGAGACAGCGGUAUUGGAGCGGCUGUUUCUUACUCGUAUACUCCCACCAAGUGAUGAAAUACACCAUCGUAGUGUCAAGCUGCGUUCAAGAAGUAUUUGUUGCAAACUGUGCCCUACAGCUGCUAUUAUAUUUUGCCUUUCUUAUGUUUGUACUUUUGGGGAAUGUGGACACUAUUAUGCAUUCAUUGCAUCCUUCACGAAGCUAUAGUACUGUAUUACACUGCAGCCCUGCUAACAUACAUUGUUAGGCUAAAACAACAUCAUGUGUUCACCCUCCCUUCAUGCAGUGAACCUUGCAUUAUUUAUAUUUGCGUUCUAUUUUCCAUACUGCGUUCUCUCAUAAAUAAAAGAAAGAAUAGUUAUCCACUUCAUCCAUUUGUAUUGAACUUCCUGUUUGCUUACAAUGUAUAUGGCUAACACAAAUUUUAUAGGAGGGCCAAGAUAUACUUUACUUCAAUACCUCUUGCAACAUAUAUAUUGUGUUCUUUGUAUAGUACUUGUCUCGAAAUAAACUAUCAAACUGCAGAAUCGUGCCUUAUGCUGCUUUUUUCAUUGCAAACUUUAGCUGAAGGACGUUCAGACAUACUUGGUGUGAAAGAAAUUUCAGGGUUAAAGGUUGCGCUUGAAAUCCUUGGAUGGUGUGCUAACUAUAUGCGUGUAUGACGCAGCAUGCAAGGAAACUCCUGCCGGGCAGCAGGAACAGCCUCCUUGCAGCUACCAGGCAUUGCACCUCAACGGUGCACGAGAUGAGACUGACAGGAAACCACUGGCAUUAUUCAGUGUCCAGUGAAAUAGUGGAUAACAAUAGCUUGACAUUUGCUGCUCAAACCCAAUCACACACACAGCAGCUCAGCAAGAACACUCGUGUGCUGAUAGUGUGCGUACACGCAACACUCAUGAAAGCAGUGGAAGGCAGGAUGCUGCCACUUGCUUCAAGCACACCCGACGAUAGACCAUAUCGUUGAUGGUGCGUCCACUUUGCUUUGUU